rnacentral:snoRNA from 1 species
CUGCAGCCAAUUAAGCCGACCAUGCUCUUUUCCCCAUGGGGGCCUGGUGUGCAAUGGCUGCAAACAGCAGCAUCCUUGGUAGUGUACGCAACCUGAGAUGGCU